UGCAGUCGAGCGAGAAGUUUUUUCGGGGGUGGAAAGCGGCGCACGGGUGAGUAACAUGUGGGUAACCUAUUUUGCGGAUUGGAAUAACACCUUGAAAGAGGUGCUAAUAUCGAGUGUGUUUAUAAGAUCGCAUAGGUUCUUAUAAAGAAAGGUGGCGCAAGCUAUCGCCGUAAGAUGGGUUUGCACUUUAUUAGCUUGUUGGUAGGGUAAAGGCCUACCAAGGCUAUGAUGGAUAACUGGUCUGAGAGGAUGAACAGUCACACUGGAACUGAAACACGGUCCAGACUCCUACGGGAGGCAGCAGUAGGGAAUAUUGCGCAAUGGGCGAAAGCCUGACGCAGCUACGCCAUGUGGGUGAGGAAGGCCUUCGGGUCGUAAAGCCUUGUCGCUGGGGAAGAAAAGCUAAGUGGUAACGCAUUUAGCCUGACGGUACCCAGAAAGGAAGCACCGGCUAACUCUGUGCCAGCAGCCGCGGUAAUACAGAGGGUGCAAGCGUUGUUCGGAAUUACUGGGCGUAAAGCGUGCGUAGGUGGUAUUGAGAGUCAUAGGUGAAAUUCCCGAGCUCAACUCGGGAACUGCCUGUGAGACCUCAGUACUAGAGUACUAGAGGGGCUAGCGGAAUUCCAUGUGUAGCGGUGAAAUGCGUAGAUAUAUGGAAGAACUUCUGUGGCGAAGCGGUUAGCUGGAUAGAGACUGACACUGACGCACGAAAGCGUGGGGAGCAAACAGGAUUAGAUACCCUGGUAGUUUACGCCGUAAACGAUGCAUACAAGGCGUAGCUGGGAUUGACUCCGGCUGUGCGAAGCUAACGCAUGUAUAUGCCGCCUGGGAAGUACGGUCGCAGACUAAACUC
rnacentral:rRNA from 1 species